CUUUACUGUAACCUGGUAUUGGGUUCGGGCUUUGACUGCGCAGGAUAGGUGGGAGGCUAUGAAGCAAUCCUUGUGGGGAUUGUGGAGUCAACAGUGAGAUACCACUCUGUCAGAGCUAGAAUUCUAACCUUCACCCGUUGUCCGGGGAAGGAACCGUAUCAGGCGGGCAGUUUGACUGGGGCGGUCGCCUCCUAAAUGGUAACGGAGGCGCGCAAAGGUGUUCUCAGGCUGGUUGGAAAUCAGCCGCAGAGUGUAAAGGCAGAAGAACGCUUGACUGUGAGAGUGACAACUCGAGCAGGGUGGAAACACGGCCUCAGUGAUCCGACGGCUUGUGCGUGGAAAUGCCGUCGCUCAACGGAUAAAAGUUA
rnacentral:rRNA from 1 species